rnacentral:rRNA from 1 species
GACGAACGCUGGCGGCGUGCUUAACACAUGCAAGUCGAACGGAAAGGCCCUGCUUGCAGGGUACUCGAGUGGCGAACGGGUGAGUAACACGUGGGUGAUCUGCCCUGCACUUCGGGAUAAGCCUGGGAAACUGGGUCUAAUACCGGAUAGGAGCCAUUUUUAGUGUGAUGGUUGGAAAGUUUUUUCGGUGUAGGAUGAGCUCGCGGCCUAUCAGCUUGUUGGUGGGGUAAUGGCCUACCAAGGCGGCGACGGGUAGCCGGCCUGAGAGGGUGGACGGCCACAUUGGGACUGAGAUACGGCCCAGACUCCUACGGGAGGCAGAAGUGGGGAAUAUUGCACAAUGGGCGCAAGCCGGAUGCAGCGACGCCGCGUGGGGGAUGACGGCCUUCGGGUUGUAAACUCCUUUCGCUAGGGACGAAGCUUUUUGUGACGGUACCUAGAUAAGAAGCACCGGCUAACUACGUG